UCUCCGUACAAUGUGUGUGAUACGCUCCAGAGGGUUGUGGAGUGUUUAGGAUUUUACUGACAUGAGACCUUUUAUUUUCAUGAACAUUGUCUCCUGAAAUGUUUUCCACAAACGUUCACUGGCUCUCCACUGGAAAAUAAACCAGUCAAAUAUGAUUACACAACUGCACACGGCUGAGAAUUUCACUCGGCUUCAGGACAAGAUUAUAUAACGCUACACAAACUUACAGACAUGUAGAGAGGCCACGCCUCCUCCACUGGGGCUGACAGGAAAAGAGGCCCUGCCUCUUUAUAGGGAGUGACAGGGAUAGAAACAUAUACCGGCUUUCCUGACAGUCUCAAAGGCCACACCCACUUUCACCUCCUUCAUUAUGACUCACAGGCUCAGAGGCCACACCUUCUUCACCUUUUUUCACUGGCACUGACAAACAGAAGAAAGGCCACGCCUCUUUCACUGAAACUGACACACAAUGGACACGCCUUCUUUACUGAGACUGACAUACACAAAGGCCACCUCUUCUAAGGGGACUAACAAAAACAGAAUAUAGGCCACACCCCCUUCACCUUUUUUAAGAUGAUUGAUAAGCACAGAAACCAUGCCUGUUUUCUGGAUAGUUACAAAGGCCACGCCUCCUCCACCAGUUUCACUGGUACCGACACAGAGGCCACGCCUCCUCCAUCUCUUUCACUGGUACCACAGAGGCCACGCCCUUCACCUUCUUUAAGAGGAUUGAUAAGCACAGAAACCAUACCUGCUUUCUCGAUAGUUACAAAGGUCACGCCUCCUCCACCAUUUCACUGGUACCGACACAGAGGCCACGCCUCCUCCACCAGUUUCACUGGUACCGACAUAGAGGCCACGCCUCCUCCACCAGAUUCACUGGUACCGACACAGAGGCCACGCCUCCUGGGAAUGACAAACACAAAGGCCACGCCUCUUUCACAACCUUCACUUUCACUGACGAUCGGGGAUAAGCAGUGCUAGAAGAAAGUUCACCUUCUUCAAAAGAACUGAUAGGCACAAAGGUCA
ensembl:lncRNA